rnacentral:rRNA from 1 species
GUGAGGAAUAUUGGUCAAUGGGCGAGAGCCUGAACCAGCCAAGUCGCGUGAAGGAUGACUGCCCUAUGGGUUGUAAACUUCUUUUACAGGGGAAUAAAAUGAGAUACGUGUAUUUUAUUGCAUGUACCUUGUGAAUAAGCAUCGGCUAACUCCGUGCCAGCAGCCGCGGUAAUACGGAGGAUGCGAGCGUUAUCCGGAUUUAUUGGGUUUAAAGGGUGCGUAGGUGGGCUGUUAAGUCCGCGGUGAAAGUUUGUCGCUUAACGAUAAAAUUGCCGUUGAAACUGGUAGUCUUGAGUAUAGAUGAAGUAGGCGGAAUGCGUGGUGUAGCGGUGAAAUGCAUAGAGAUCACGCAGAACUCCGAUUGCGAAGGCAGCUUACUAAGGUAUAACUGACACUGAAGCACGAAAGCGUGGGUAUCAAACAGGAUUAGAAACCCUAGUAGUCC